rnacentral:lncRNA from 1 species
CAAGAGGGGUUUAGCCACUGGUAUUUACAACAAAACAAAAGGAAAUGAAUUUAAACAUUAGAAACAAAAGAAAGAAAACACCUAAACGCUCCAAUGAUCCAAGUUGGACAGCAAGCACAUCCAAGCACUUUCCUUCCCUUCCUUUGCUACGGCACAAGGUGUUGGUGAGUGUUUGAAGGUUUCUUUGUAUGGAGGAAUGGAUGUGAUGAUAAAUGGAUGUGUUUGGAUGAAGGUUGUGUUGAAAUGGGAGUGAAUGAUCUAACCAAGUAUAUACUAAAUUUAUGUUACACACACUUCCUUUUAUAGAGGAAGUGCAUGGCAAUGGAGGGGAACAUGGAGUGGUGUAGCAAUUGAGUGCAAUCAUGCAUGAAAUCUGAAAUGAUGGAGGGAACAAGGAAUGGUGUAGCAAUUGAGUGCAAUGAUUCAAUGUAAUGAUGCAUGAAUCUGAAAUGAUGGAGGGAACAAGGAAUGGUGUACCAAUUGAGUGCAAUGAGUGGUGAAGGAACAAAAUGGUGUAGCAAUUGAGUGCAAUGAUUCAAUGUAAUGAUGCAUGAAAUUUGAAAUGAUGGAGGGAACAAGGAAUGGUGUAGCAAUUGAGUGCAAUGAGUGGUGUUUGAAAUGAUUCAAAGGUGAAAGUGAAGUGAUGAUGCAAAGCAUUGGGGUAAAAUUGAGUGGUGUUGCAGCUAGGGAACAUGAAUGAUUGUGCACAUGGUAGAGAAAGGAAAGGGAGGUGGAAUGAUGCAACAAAUGAGUCAGUGGAGGGAACAUGGAUGAUGAUGCAUGGCAUAGGAAUCCAAAGGGAGUGCAAUGGUGGUGCACGGCAAUGAUGGAAAGGUGAAUG